ACACCUGCCAAAAAAGGUUGGCUCCCACUGCCACAAGAUUUGUCUGUAUGCUCACAUCAGUCUCUUGAUCUUCUUCAAAGCCAAUACACCCUACCGAGAUUUUGAAUACAAGUCUGUGGGCCUGUCUUUUCUAGAAGAUCAAAUGAGAGCUGUCUGCAGCUCCUUUUAAAUUUGUCUAUCAAACCUGAGGGCUUUGCACAUAUAUAUGUAAUAGGCACCAGCUGUAUUGCUAAAGCAAAAAUGCUUUUCUGUUAUUGGGUUCCUCAGACUUCUGGGCAUAGAUGUUGAGUUGUACCCCUGAAAACUCCCAUUUUCUGUUGGAAUCAGAUUCUGCAGAAGUUGCAUAAGAAAGAACCACUUUAAUUCUGGUCACCUGGAAUUGGUCUUGGUCCCAUGAAGAAGGGAAGUCAAGGAGUGGUAGAACGUGCAGCCUAGAGAGACUACAGGGAAUGUCAAGCUCUUUAUAAAAUGUAAGGCAUUCAGGCCUGACUUCCUGAGGUGCUGAACAGAUGGCGAUCCCAUUGACUUCAAUCUGGAUGAAUGCUCCCUACUUCUGGUGAAACUAUAAGGCCUUAUUACGCCCUUCCGUCUGAAGUGCCUUUGCAACUGGAUGAGUCUAUAAGAGCACUGACAUAUCAAAUGAAAACUCAGAUGCUCCUGAAUCUGAGGAGGGGUUGGCAGUGCCUGUAGGUAUUCCUCUAACCCUAGUGGCCGACUUGCACCAAGUGGCAUAGGCAGCUACAAUGUGUGGCAGGUGAGUCUUGGGCUCUCAGUAAAAGGCAGGCGCCAGAAUGGCAGCAGGGCAGGGGCAGAAUGCUGCUGUGAGAGGUGUUAAGUGUCACCACCAAGAGCCUGCACAACCCUCUUCUGCUCCUGUGGCUGUUGCUGAAUUCAGGGCUCUGAAUCCUUGCCCACUAUAUAAAACAACAGCAGUUGCAGGGCCAGAAAAGAGUUAAACUGGCUCUUGGUGGUGACAUCUUCUCUUGUAGUGGUGUUCUGCUCCGUGCAGCUGCAGCCCGAGGCUCAAAUAUUCCCUCUGCCCUCCAUCUUGGGACCCCAGAGCACAAGCUCUAGAGUCUAGAGGGAAAGGAUCAGUGACACUUGGGAAGAAGAGGGGGGUCAGGUUAACUUGUGGCACAUCCACCCAAAAGGUUGGCGGUCACUGAUUGUUCUAUACCAGGGGUAGGCAACAUGUGAAGAUACUGGAUCUGGCCUGCAGCAACUGCAGAAAUCAGCAAGCUGCAGCCACAGCAGCAGAGGAAGCAUCUCCAGGGGUGUAUCACCUAUCACAUUCAGUUUAUUCUCGCUGCUGCAGCAAAGAGGCAUCCUCAGGUCCUAGCACCUGAUUUUAUUUAUCUAUUCCCCUUGCAGAAUCUCCUGAACACUGGGGAGUGCAGGAAUGCAGCCCACGUUGGGGACAGCAUCACAAGCAGCAGCCCAUGGUGGUACAAGGUUACAGGGAAUAUAAGAACAGUAAGAAGUGAACAGGGAAGGACUGUUCACCUGCUAUGUGCAAUCUUCACUCAUCAGAGCAUGGUGUUCAGCUGCAACAGAGAACAGAUGCAAAACUUAAAUCAUGUGAAGAAAACACUUUUUUUUUGUGAGAGUUUGCCAAGAAAGAUGUUACCAGAACACUGCAGUGCAGAUGGUGCAUUAUCAGCUAACGCACUUGGACUGGAGAAAUCUGGGAAGGGAAGUGCUGUCUGUGAUGACAUCAGCCCUUGAUGGGAUCCCUCAGGCCUGCUGUCUUGGCUCUUCUGUUCUCCUGACAGCGCUGUCCAGUGCAUUACUCCACCAUGGAUCCUCAUGACACUACAGCUUUAUUGCCUCAGGAAGCCAAGGUAUUAGGAGCGAGGGAGCCCCAAGCUCUUAUACGUUGGUGUAGAGGAAAUAGGCUAUCUUUAGCUCCAGGCUCCCUGUAGCACCCCUACUUCUCCGCACAAAAUCUUCUGCCCACCCACAAUCUCCUCUAGUGUACCUCUGUUGUUGCUGCUGUUCCCAUGUGUCUUUGAGGUUACCCAGUGGCUUUGAAUGCUAUCUCUCCUCCUGACCUUCUGUCCU